UACGGAGGGUGCAAGCGUUAAUCGGAAUUACUGGGCGUAAAGGGUGCGUAGGUGGCCCGAUCAGUCAGAUGUGAAAGCCCCGGGCUUAACCUGGGAACUGCAUUUGAUACUGUCGAGCUAGAGUAUGGUAGAGGGAAGUGGAAUUCCGGGUGUAGCGGUGAAAUGCGUAGAUAUCCGGAGGAACACCAGUGGCGAAGGCGACUUCCUGGACCAAUACUGACACUGAGGCACGAAAGCGUGGGUAGCAAACAGG
rnacentral:rRNA from 1 species